rnacentral:rRNA from 1 species
UACGUAGGGUGCGAGCGUUGUCCGGAAUUACUGGGCGUAAAGAGCUCGUAGGUGGUUUGUCGCGUUGUUCGUGAAAACCGGGGGCUUAACCCUCGGCGUGCGGGCGAUACGGGCAGACUGGAGUACUGCAGGGGAGACUGGAAUUCCUGGUGUAGCGGUGGAAUGCGCAGAUAUCAGGAGGAACACCGGUGGCGAAGGCGGUUCUCUGGGCCUGUACUGACGCUGAGGAGCGAAAGCGUGGGGAGCAAACGGG